rnacentral:rRNA from 1 species
GUGCCCAGAUGGGAUUAGCUAGUUGGUGGGGUAACGGGCUCACCAGCGACGAUCCCUAGCUGGUCUGAGAGGAUGACCAGCCACACUGGAACUGAGACACGGUCCAGACUCCUACGGGAGGCAGCAUG